rnacentral:lncRNA from 1 species
CCGAUUAGGUUUUCUCGGGAAGGUUUUUAACGAGGCGGCAAGGGGGUCACCUGGAGACGUUUACAGCGCAAGUGCAUCAUGUCCGCCUCUCCAUAAAUUCUCCGAGCCAGACACGAUACAUGGACUGGAUUAGUGUCAUCUCCAAGUGAAUGUAAAGGCUACGACCAUCUCCAAGUGAAUGUAAAGGCUACGACCAUCU